rnacentral:lncRNA from 1 species
UGUGUUAAACUUUUAUUCCAACUUUAUGUAGUUGUAGCUACAAACAUAUUUUAUGCUACUUCAAUAAAUAUGUUACACUUUUCCUCAAAUCUUGUAUAGAUCAAGCUACAAAAAUAUUUUUUUGUCAUGCAUCCAAUUUCACCUUGAGAGAUGCAAACGCCUGAUGAAGCUAAUUUGUUUAGCGAAAUAUUGCGUAUUUCUAUUUUAAAUCUAAUGGAACUUUUU